UCUCCAUCAACGUGUUGCCAUCGGGGUUGUCGUGCUACUCAUGCUAUUACUACUAAAGCUACAUCCUAGCAAAAUUGUAAACGCAUCUGCAAGCACACACGUUAGUAUAAAGACAACCCUAUGGCUCCUGCCGGUUGCCGUACCAUCGACGUGCAAGUCGAUAUUUCUAUUACAACAUGAUCAUCUCAUACAUCCAAUAU
rnacentral:lncRNA from 1 species